UACGGGGGGAGCAAGCGUUGUUCGGAAUUACUGGGCGUAAAGGGCGCGUAGGCGGCGUGUCAAGUCAGGCGUGAAAGCCCCGGGCUCAACCUGGGAACCGCGCUUGAGACUGGCAUGCUCGAGUUCGGGAGAGGAUGGUGGAAUUCCCAGUGUAGAGGUGAAAUUCGUAGAUAUUGGGAAGAACACCGAUGGCGAAGGCAGCCAUCUGGACCGACACUGACGCUGAGGCGCGAAAGCGUGGGGAGCAAACAGGG
rnacentral:rRNA from 1 species